UCCAGACUCCUACGGGAGGCAGCAGUGGGGAAUAUUGCACAAUGGGGGAAACCCUGAUGCAGCGACGCCGCGUGAGUGAAGAAGUAUUUCGGUAUGUAAAGCUCUAUCAGCAGGGAAGAAAAUGACGGUACCUGACUAAGAAGCCCCGGCUAACUACGUGCCAGCAGCCGCGGUAAUACGUAGGGGGCAAGCGUUAUCCGGAUUUACUGGGUGUAAAGGGAGCGUAGACGGCAUGGCAAGUCAGAUGUGAAAGCCCGGGGCUCAACCCCGGGACUGCAUUUGAAACUGUCAGGCUGGAGUGCAGGAGAGGUAAGUGGAAUUCCUAGUGUAGCGGUGAAAUGCGUAGAUAUUAGGAGGAACACCAGUGGCGAAGGCGGCUUACUGGACUGUAACUGACGUUGAGGCUCGAAAGCGUGGGGAGCAAACAGGAUUAGAUCCCUGGUAU
rnacentral:rRNA from 1 species